rnacentral:sRNA from 1 species
UCGAUCUGCUGCGGGCAGAUGAAAUGGAUGUGCGAAUCUAUGCCGCCGGCGGUCACGAUCAUGCCUUCGCCGGCGAUGAUCUCGGUGGCCGCGCCGAUCGCCAUCGUCACGUUCGGCUGGAUGUCCGGGUUGCCGGCCUUGCCGAUGGCGGCAAUGCGUCCGCCCUUCACGCCGAUGUCAGCCUUGACGAUGCCCCAGUGAUCGAGGAUCAGCGCAUUGGUGAUGACGGUAUCCAUCACAUCCGCAUGGACGCGCUGCGACUGCCCCAUGCCGUCGCG